rnacentral:rRNA from 1 species
CAAUAGCGUAUAUUAAAGUUGUUGCGGUUAAAAAGCUCGUAGUUGGAUUUCUGUUGGGAACGACCGGUCCGCCCAUUGGGUGUGUAUCUGGCUUGUUCUCGGCAUCUUCUUGGUGAACGUUGCUGCACUUGACUGUGUGGAGCGCUACCCAGGACUUUUACUUUGAGGAAAUUAGAGUGUUUCAAGCAGGCAUAUGCCUUGAAUACAUCAGCAUGGAAUAAUAAGAUAGGACCUCGGUUCUAUUUUGUUGGUUUCUAGAGCUGAGGUAAUGAUUAAUAGGGAUAGUUGGGGGCAUUCGUAUUUAACUGUCAGAGGUGAAAUUCUUGGAUUUGUUAAAAACGGACUACUGCGAAAGCAUUUGCCAAGGAUGUUUUCAUUGA